GAAGAUAAUAAGUUCAUAAUCCUCCUCAUUGUUUUACUCUUUUUUUGCGGUCUUUCUCGUAAGAUUGCAUUGAUAGAGUCAAACUCCCAUGUGUCUCAUGUUUGUUUGUUGAGUUCUAAUUUUAAUUGGAGCUGUCUUAUGUGCGAUUUGAAGUUCUGUGGUCCAUUAUCACAGUAGCGCUGUAAUUUCUGGAGAUGACUUUUAGGAUACUUUGUGUUUUAUGCUAUUCAAAGCUGCAAGAAUAUUGUUCCAUAUUAACGAGACAAAAAUCCUCUCUGUUUCUUGUGCUUUUGUUAAAUUUUAUUGCAAUUGAACUGAGCAUGCACUUUAUGGAAUAUUUGUUUGCCAUCAUAAGUGUGGGUUGGGUAUUAAUUU
rnacentral:misc_RNA from 1 species